CUUGGAGUGCCACGAGCAUCCUCAGGGAGCCUGCUAGUCAACUACUGCUGCUUCUCUGCCAGCUGAUGACUGCACGGAGGCUGCCACUUUCUGAUGUUAAAGAAGGCAUUCUGAGUGGAGACCUGUGGAAUGGAUACUUUAAAAGUAAAGAAGAUGUUGGGAAACUAUGAAAGGAGAUGUCCUGGGAUACAGCUUGUUCAUUUUCAUGAAAAUGGUUUUCAUCAGAACUACAGACAGUUUUCAAAAGAAGACAUACAUGCGGC